GCCGCCUUAGCUCAUCUGGCAGAGCGCCCGCCUUGUAAGCGGGGGGCACCCGGAUCAUGACCGGGAGGCGGCUCCA
rnacentral:tRNA from 1 species